ACAUACGAUCAUACCCACUAGAGAACUCGGGAUCCCGUCCGCUCUCCCUAGAUAAGCCAGUGAGGGCCGGAUUAGUAGUUGGGUCGGUGACGACCAGCGAAUACCUGGUGUUGUAUGNU
rnacentral:rRNA from 1 species